CCCUUUGGACUUUGCCUGUAGAUUCAGUGCUAGCUCACUCUGCCCCUCCUCCUCCCUUUAACUCUCUCGAGGUUAUCCAUUCACUUAAGACAUUGCUUUCGGU
rfam:Myotis davidii contig181072, whole genome shotgun sequence.